AUAAAAUUUUUAUUCAUUUAAAUUAAUUAAUUUAAAUUACUUUAAAAUUUUUAUAAAAUUUAUUUAAAUUAAAUUAAAUUUAAUUUUAUUAAUUAUAAUUCAUUAAAUAUUAAUUAUUCUAUAUCUUGAUUUAAUUUUAUUAUUAAAAAUAUUUAUAAAAUAAUCUUUUAAAAUUUAUUUUUAUUAUAAUGAUAUAUAAGAUUUAAUUAAUUUAAUUUUAUUGUGCUAUAUCAAUUUAAUUAAUAAAUUCCCCUUAUAAAAAUAUUACUGCCAAAAUUCAAUAAUUUUAAUAUUUUUAUUUAUUAAUUUAAUUAAUUAAUUUUUUAUUUUAAUAAUAGAGUAUCUAAUUCUAGUUUUAAUUAUAUUUUCAUAAUUUUAAAUUUAUUUUUUUUAUAUUUUAAAAUUUCACCUUUAUUUAAAUAUAUAAAUUUUUUAUAUUUAAUUUAAUUAUAAAUUUUAUUAUUUUAAAUUUUUUCUAAAGU
rnacentral:rRNA from 1 species